UGCUGCUCCUUUAGUGGUGAUCAGUGGAGUAAAACAGAAAUGCCCCAUUCUCUGGAUGUGCUACUGCUUGGGUAUGAUGCAAAACACCUUUUGUAUGGUCAUUAAGUUUACAUAGAGCAUGGUCAAGUAACAAGACAGGAAUAGUUAUUUUGGCAAGGUAAGUAGAAUCUUUAAGUUUCAGGUUCAAGAUUCUUUCUUGACUACAAAGUAUUACCUCAUUGAAAUCCCUAAAGAUUAAUUAUCUAUUUUUCAUUUGAAUGUGGCUUAGAGAAAGAAGGGUAGGAAGAAAGUUCAUUUGCUGAUGAUAAGGUGACGGUUCCUGACAUGCCUCAGAAGCUGGCUUCUCAGGUGAUAAGCCUUAAGGGAUCCAUGUUCCCAAGAGAAGGGCUUCCAUGGUAUGUCAAAGAGCUCUUAGUAAAGGAGAGCUGAGAGGCACUAACCUAAAAUAAGCAAACAUUCAGAGGAAGAGGGUAAGCUUCGUAAGCAAGGAAAAUACCGCUUGUAAAUACAUGAAAACUUCUAGUGAAAUCACACAAAAAAGUAUUUGUACAGUGUCAAAAAAAGAAGAAAAACUUUUGGAAAAGUUCUGAUGAAGUCAGACUGAACUCUGUGGAAAGACAAAACUCAGCAACUACAAAUAAUUCAGUGAAUCUACAUUACCAAAUACCCACACAAGCAGAAAUGACAGGAAAAGUUCAGAGUGAAAUGAAGGGAGGAAAACUCAGUGAUGGGCAUAAUUCAAGAAAAAAGCCAUAACUGUAGCAAAGACUUUCAAGCAGUUUCCACAUCUUGGCAGUUGCCAAGGAUCCUUCCUUCUCCAGAGCUUGCUGAAAACCAGCAAAACUGCUCUUCCUCAGAAUCCUGAAACUAGAAGAGGCCUAUGUGCAACUGUUGUCAUGGACACUUUACGGAAGUUGAUCCGAAGUGUGCUCCCCUACCCAGUUAUAAUUUGUGUCUUCUCCAUGAAAACCUCAAUACUACUAUUGAGGUACUACUGCAUCACGUUGAAAGAAAACAGGCAAAACAAGGGCCUUUCCACUUCCAAUGGCUUGCUCACAGGUUAUCACCCAAAGAAGUACUAAUUUGUCAUUUGAUUAAAAAGAAAUGUGGAGAUUACAGAUCAUUCUGUGGUAAUCUAUAACUCCUCUCUCUCAGUCCCAGACUACCUUAUGAACUGGUCUUCUAUUCUUCCAUUAUUAAUUACUAUAUUCUUACUUGCAGUGAGUUUUGAGUCUCGUGAGGGCAAAAAUGUCAAGGUGGAUUCACAACUGCUAGGUUAUAUUCUAAUAGUUUGGACUUUUCCCUUUUGUUCACUAUGAUUAGAAUGCUGAAAGUUUUAUGAGGUUUGGGAAAUUAUUUCUGUGGAGUUGCAGGGAGGGGAGCAGGGUUUGCUUUAGAACAAUCUAUAGGAACCCAUCUGUACUUCUGUCAUUUCAGUGGAAACCCAAAGCUUGGACUGCAGCAGAUAUGGAAGCACUGGCUUGUUUCUAACAUCUCUCACAUAGUCAAGGCACUCAGAAUAAUCUUAAAUGCACAGCUGUUUCUGCAAAUGAGGAAAAGAGAGUUUACAAGUAAUCUUCCUAUCACAGCAUGUGUGGAUGUUGCAUUAUUCAAUAGCUAUUCUUGUGGGGCCAUGCACUUACAUGGUUCAAUACACUAAUGUUUUCUCUCCUUACCCUGAAAGGCCUUCAACAAAGGACAAAAAUAACCAGCUUAUGGUUCUAGUACAGGCAGGAAGAAUUUAAUUUUACCUGUUCACACAAAUACUCAACUAUUUCUCAUCCAGCAUUGUGUAAAUAUAUCCCAAACUUAAAAACAAGAUCAAACUGCUAAAUGUAUCUAGCUUGCUAUUACAGUACAAUAAUUUGUUUUAACUUUAUUUUCAUGUACAGCUUCAGAAUAUAUAGACCAUAGAAAACUGUAUAUUUUAGAGGCACAUCAGGUAGAAAUAAUAUCCUAAAGUAUGUUUAUCCCAUUAACUCUAAUCCAAGCUUUUUGGCAUUUUCUUGGUACUCAGAACAUUCACAUCUGUUCUAUGUGGAAUCAUGUAUAUGCUGCUGUUUGUAUGCUACAGUGAGCGUGGUUUUCAUUUCUAACUAAAGGGACUGCACUUUUACUGUUGAAGCUGAGUUCAGGUAUAUAUACAUCUUUAUUUUAAAUAUUCAUUCUAUAAAUGACCUAAGCAUUAUCAAGGCAAUAAACUGAAGAAGCAUCUCUUCAAGUCAAUGUCAUAGUAGCUUACCUUACAAUUUUAUAGAACUAUAUUCUAGAUACAAAAGUUUUAAUCCCUAUUUGCUUUAGAAUUUUUUGUCGUACUAUUUCAUGUUUGAAUAAGGCUCGCAAAAUGUCUAGCUUAUACUCUAUCUACUCUUAGCCUUAAACCUAAAUCUGUUUAUUUAAAACAAAUUCUGCUUGCUAGCAAAAUUCAGGCUUUGAAUCUGAAAUGUAUUCAGCAAACUGUAGAAACACUUUUAAAAAGUAGGGUAGUAAUGCUUGAAAUUCAGAGUGUUCACACUAAGAGGGAGAGAAAAAUUGACAAAAUAAUAGUGUCGUGCUAGACUGGUGAGAACGCAUUUUGCUCAAACUGAUUUAUUGCAUUUUUUUUUUUAACUACUAUUGCUUUUAUUUGCUCUUCUACUUACAUGUGUAAUUUCUUACCAGACUUGUUGGGCUUUCUUCACUCCCUAAGAUAAGUAUUACAUGUCAAAGCAUUUUAGGAUGUUCAAUAGAGAUGGAACUAUCGUUAGUUCCAUCUCUAUUACUCGUGUUGGAGACCAUUCCUAUACUGGUUCAGUUUUGUAACUGAACUUUUACUCUGUGAGAAAUCAAGGAUGAAUUAUCUGCAGGAAUGGGUCAGACCAUCAGCUGAUAUAUAACAGGGUAAGUUAUCAACUUUAAUAGAGCUACGCUAUUUUGUAAUAACAACUUUAUUCUGUAUUAAGAGUAAAACCUCAUCCAAGACCUAUUUAUUUUUUAUUGCCUAUGUAUUGGGCCAGCUGUAGAGAACAUACUGAAGUAAAUACAUGGUUAGUGCUUUUACAAAGUCAAAUCUGUAUUUAAACAUCAAAACUGUGACUAACCAGAAAAAGCAACUUCAUUCAUUCUCCACCUUGGUCUCCAAACUCUGAAAUCACCAUUAGCCAAAGCUAGUAUUAUACUGCUGAACAGUUAAGCCUGGUAUUACAGUAGAGAUUUCUCUCACAAAGUUAUUGAGAAAUAAAAAUCACCAAGUCGUUUUAUUUUGAAAAACUAUCCUGGAACUCAUAAACAAAACUAUUACACUCUGAUUUCUUUCCUUUUCAAGUAAAAUCCACAAAAGAAUUUAGAAUUAUUUUGGUAAAGGCCAAUUUCCUAGUGGGCAGACUCAGGGAAUGCUUUUGUAAAUGAUAUAUUAGCCAGGAAAUUACUAUCUAAUCAAAGCCCAGUGUAAUAAACAUGUUGAGUUUGGCCAUUUUUUUUCUUUCUUUUUUUUUUUUUU